AAAACGGGAAGAUUUUAUUAUAAGUCACGUUGGUCCGACCACAGCACAGUCCAAUUGAUAAGAGUUGUCAUUUCUGUCGGCUAUAAGAAAUAUCAAAGGGCGAAUAAAAUGAAAACGGAACCAAUUCACGCUGCUCGUUUGCGCUGUACCGGACCGUUUAAGGUUAGAUAGCGCCGCGCGAGCGUUGAGAGAUCCGGUGAAGAGGGAAUACACAGCAGAAUUAUCAACAUCGCUGCGAGAUCUAAGUUUGUAAUACAGUGUAAACUUUGCAAAUUUGCUCACAGUAGCAGAGAGGUCCUCCUGAAACACUACAGGUUUCACCACUAUCAAGGGCGAUCCUGGCAGCAGCCUUGCCUGUAUACUGACUGCAUCUGCACUUUCAAAACUAUAGGAAAGGGAUGCAUUACAGGAGAAAUUGAAGAAGAAACAUCUCAACAUGGCAUUUGUUGACUCGAAAAUGGAAUUGACAUUCUCAUUGAGAAGGAAGGAGAUAGUUGAAGAAGAACCUCUUGUAGCUGAUGUACUAAGACAAUGGCCAGCAUUGUUUUUUGGAACAUCAGAUAUGUGCUGAGUUUUACAGAAUCACACAAACAAACCUUAAGAGUAAAUUUUUCUCUUAUCUGGAUGAAUAUACACCGCGGAUGAUCAAGUUGUUUAGGGUACUCGGCGGAGCAUAUGGAGAUAAUAUUAAGACCCUCCUAGACCAACUUGAUGAUCAGACCUCCGAUGUGCUUGCUCAUAGAAAGGCUACAGCUCUCAAAGGUCUACCUUUGUUUAUGAGGGAAAAGUCUGAACAUUUCCUGAAGACUUGCCUGGACACAGAGCCAGAAGAAAAUCAUACAAAAGGGAAUAAAGAUGGGGAUCUUAACCAUCAUUGAAGAUGACGUUGCGACCAUCCACUCAAACCCAAAUGUUAAGGUGCCUGUCUGUGGUUCUAGAGGAGCAUAUCGUGCUGGAUAAUGUGCAAGACCUUCCCACUGCUAUGGCUCUUCUCUUUGGCUUGAUUUAUGCCCUGAACAUGAACUAUCCUAAAGAACUCAAGUACACCUUUGAAACGAUUCAAAAGGUGUGUAUUGGUCUUAACCCCCAGUGCUCAGCAAGAGUCCAGUCCUUCAAAAACAAACUGUCAAUGUCUAAAUAGCUGGAUACGAAUAAGGGAAAGCACUAAGCUGUUCCUUUUGUGCCAUCUGAUGUUUCCGUAAAAGUGUCAAAAGAGGAAAUAUUUUAAUGUAAUGAACCUUAAAUGUUGUUUUUACAGUUGUAAAACUGGAUUGCUCAAACACAUUUGUUGCAAUUUUUAGAAUCCUGAAGUCUUGUUCAUAGAUAUAGCACUUUAAGACUGUUUCUUGUACUUUGUUACUCCAGCGCUUUAAAAGAUGUUGUGCUGUAAAAUCACUUUAAAAGCAUUCCAAGAAGAGAGGAAAGUGUUCUUUUGCCUCUUAAGGGGCCUCAAUGUGACAAAUUGUGAAUAAAUAUUUUCUGUAAUGAUGGCAUAGUCUUUUGUAUUGUUUUUACAGCAUGGCUGAGAAAUAUGGAUGCGAGAUUAUUCUUAGCUAAAUUAAAAUAUGAAAAUAAAGCUGAAUCAACUUAAAAACGCAAGGUCAACCAGCUGCAAAGCUUUUUUGAGUUGACUGAACUUCAUGCCCGUGUAGUUGUGGCUACUCGUUUUUUAAAGUUCGCUCAACUCCCUUAUCCAGCUUCACUGAACUUUCAAAAAUGAUUUGGCACAACUUCAACCACCGAAGUUGAGUAAACUCAAAAAUGCUUUGCAGCUGGU